UUAAAUCCCUUAUCGAGGAUCCAUUGGAGGGCAAGUCUGGUGCCAGCAGCCGCGGUAAUUCCAGCUCCAAUAGCGUAUAUUAAAGUUGUUGCAGUWAAAACGCUCGUAGUCGGAUUUCGAAGCACGCUCACGGGGGCGGUUUUUGCUGUUUCUGUGAGGGUGUCUUCUUUUUCUGGGACGCGUUGUGCGGGACUUGAUUGUCUCUGCACAUCUGCGGGCCGGACGUUUACUGUGAAGAAAUUAGGGUGUUCAAAGCARGCGUUUGSUAUGAAUACGUGAGCAUGGAAUAAUAGAAUAGGACUUGACCUCUAUUUUGUUGGUUUCCGGAGAACAAGUAAUGAUUAAUAGGGACAGUUGGGGGCAUUCGUAUUUCAUUGUCAGAGGUGAAAUUCUUGGAUUGAUGGAAGACGAACAACUGCGAAAGCAUCUGCCAAGGAUGUUUUCAUUGAUCAAGAACGAAAGUUAGGGGAUCGAAGACGAUCAGAUACCGUCGURRUCUUAA
rnacentral:rRNA from 1 species